AAAGACACAAACAAGCGUUUAUGCCCUGGUUUUCAACAGCUGCUGGUGGCCCACUAUGUGAUAAUCCAGCUUUCAGCGAAUAUUCUUCAGCUCCAAGAAAUAAAUACAUUUAACAGGGCAACCUCAGGUCAGUCCGCAGCUUCUGGGAUCUUGGCCUGGGGAAAUUCUUGAGGCGGGAAAAUGGACUGAAGGGGUGUGCUUUGGGCAAGUUGUUUUGAGACUCCCUGUUUCCUUGAGAAAGUGUGCGUAUAUGUGUGCACAUGCAUGCACGUGUGUGUGAGUGUGAGUUUCUUUAAAAUAAAAGACCAAAAUUUAAAAGAAAAAAAGAAAAAGGAAGAGAGAGACCAUGCCUUGGAGAGGGUGCGGGCUUUCCCCUUCCUAAUGGAGUGGGAGAACAUUCUUACAAAUCCUACAACCUGUGCUUUGAAGAAAAUCGGCUGAGUCGGGUGUUAUGCCGCAGACAAAAGGAGGUGGAGGACAGUGUAGGUCACGGGCUGGUUCAGUCACUAUGGAAUCUGAGCGGAUGUGACCCCUCUGUGACAAUGUCCCCAAGGUGUACGGGGAGGAGCCUCACGUCUAUAACGAGGAUGGGAGCCAGAGAAGCGUUCCCUCUCCCCUCCUUGGACUUCCUAAAGAUAACAACCGCGGGCAGCUGAGGAGCAGAGCGGGAGAGAGGCUGGGAUCGGAAAUACUGAGGCCUUAUUAUCCUUGGCUCACCCGGUCCUCGCUUCCUGUGCCAAAGGCAGCCCGAAGGGUGCGAAACUUUACAGUGCUAAUGUACACAACGACAUCCUCCUACAAGCAGAUGCUAGAAGAAGAAGAAAAAGAGGGGCCCUGAUGGAAAUUUGUAUUAAAUCCAUGUCACCCUCACCCCGGGGACACUUGGGACACUGAAUGAAAGAAACGGAAGUUGGAUGUACCAUUGUUCUGGAGCUGCUGAAAAAAGAGGAGGGGAGCAGGAGGCAGGAACCACAUUGUGAGCGAACUUGGCAAAGGGCGAGUUCAGAGGCGACUUUCCCGUCCGGCACCGCAUUUGAGGUCUGCAUUCUCCAGCCUCAUCGGAGCUUCCAUGGUCCCAACAGAAAUAUGCCUGUGCCCUGAUGGAACCACAAAUGGAGCCAAUGUGGCCUUUUCGUUUUUUUUUUCUGCUUACCUGAUUGGAAAGUGACAUUUGAUAUUACUUUUCCAUUAGGUUAAUUACAACUCUAAUAAGAUUUUAUUGUGCCCUUGAUGACAUCACUUUGGAAACAUCACUCAAUUGGGCGGCCCGUUUUCCUCUGAAUGACUGUACAAAAUAAACAAGCAAGCCUUCUUUUUAUAGCUAUAGAC
rnacentral:lncRNA from 1 species